rnacentral:lncRNA from 1 species
GGUGUCUGGACCACCAUCCUGAGUGGAAUUCUUAAGAUCGGCCAUUUAUGACUUCGGUAUCAAAUUUAAUCCUGUCCCUACAGCCUUUAAUACAGACGGCAGAUGGUGGAAUAUUUGAGCAUGCUGAGUUUUGACUUCGGCCGUAAGCAUACAUUAGCCGCCAUCAGAUUUUACCUUGUCGGGUAAGAUUUAACUUAGCUGUUUCUUUUCCUCAGCACCCUCUUCCAUCGAAUUAAGCCAAACCCCCAACUAAAGGGGCAGGGCCAAUUCCACCUGCACUUUAUUUGAAAAUUCAAAAGCACCCAC